rnacentral:lncRNA from 1 species
UUUAACAAACUUAAUACUGAUUUCAAACCUUUACAUACAACAAAAAUAGAAACUGAUCUCAAGAAACAUUAUUGCCUUUAAGCAAACAUUCAAGUCUUAACACAUAUAAAUUUUGACAUUACUGCCAUGUCUGCUUUGAUCAAACUAUACAAUACAUCUCAUUCCAAAUUAAUAGUACAAACCACAAUGAGAUAUUUAUACUUCUAUGCUAAACAAUCUACAAUGGCUCUGAACUCCUCCGAUAAUCCGUUUUGGCUUUGAGGUUUGCAGAUAUUGACCAAUUAAUGGCCAGAUCAAUGAACUACAGCCAUAGUUGUCGCAAUAGGAGCCUUCCACAUCAUGACUUUGCUAUUAAAUACUACUUAGCAACAUAUUAGGAAUAUAUUUGAAUCGAACUUCAUGCUAAAACAGUCAGAAAUUAACAGAGUCAAUACAUGCUUUAACGGUCUACUUUCAUACACGUUGUUUGGAGUGACAUAUCAAAUAGGAAUAUAAAUUAACUUAUAUUCCCAUACUACACAAAUAUCCAAUAAACCAAAGCAGAAAUUAGAAAUUUCAUUCAGAUAGGAAUAUGAGCACAUGAGUUUUCAAAUUGACCUAUUCAAGCAGGGCCAAACAAAGAAUAAUAAAUCUCUGAAGUUGGAAGGAAGUGGCAGCAAGAACAAACGCAUCAGUAGAAACAACACAAAACAACUUCAAAACCCACUCCCAAAAUCCAAAGAGAACCUAGAAGCUACUAAAACAAUGUUGAUGAGUUCGAAAUCCCUUUUUCUUUGUUUUUUUUUCUAAAUCUGAUUUUGACUUUCAGAGGAUUUUUGUGAGAAAAAUGAGUGAGGAUGAGGGAAUUUUCAAAGAAUCAGUCUGUCCAGUGAAACAUCAGUGAAGAUGAGUGUGAAUUCUCUGAAAAAUACAAAAAUAAAAAGUGUCCUUGAUAUGCAGAGAAUGAGAGGAUAUAUAAAGAGAAUGUGUCAGCUGAAAAAAUGGGAAAAAGCAUUUUGUUUCUAACAAAUUAUGGGCAGCUGUCCCAUUCAAUGAUUCCUCUCUAUUUUUCACCCUUCCUAUUUUCUGUUUUAUUACAUCCUCACCCGACCUGUCCUUUUUAACCUAAUUUUUACCUUUUUAUUGCUAAAAAGUCCUCCCCUAUUUAUAGAAUCUUCUGAGGCAGUUACAGACUAGAUUCCCUUAAGAUCCUAUUUUCUUUAGCCCCUUAGAUCUCUUGUUAUUUAUAAAUCAAACCUACUUCUUACUCUUAGAGAAUUCUGGGCCUGCCCGUGGCCCAUUGACAGGACUUAGCUUUAGCAGCCCGGACUUUCUCAUUUCCUUGACCCUUAAAUAAAUCAAAUUACCAAUUAACUGACCUAAAUUUAUGCUAGAACAAAUGUGACAUGCCUUAAUUAAUCCUACUAAAUAUAAUCGAUGGAACACAUGGCAAAACAAACAUAUCAACACAAAAUAUUACUAAAUCAAGACUUGAAUUUAAAAGACAACAAUGAAAACAUGACUAUCCUAAACAUGUAGUUGAGCAUCAAACAAGAUUUUGUGACUGAAAUAAUUCGACUUGAACUUGGCAGUGAUAAAAUUGAAGAAAAGGAAAAAAAUAAAGUUAAACCUAAUUAAAUUCUAAUCAACCAAAAACAAAGAGAAAACGAAGAAUGAAAAGAAGAGAUUACCUAAUGAGAUCAAAAGCAAGAAUAGAAGAACGAAGCUCCAUGUGUUUAAGUCUUCAAAACAUCGGAGACUUUAGACCUAUGAGCAUUGCGUUAAACUAAAUCUGAUAGACACUUCAUAAGCCAAAAAUCUUGAAGAAUUGAAGUCUUGAACAUGAGAAAGAAGGCUGGUGGACAAAUACUAAGGUUUUGGGUGGUCAACAAGAAUUUGACCGAGCUUGAAUGGCUAUGAGACGAGGUAGAAACACCCACAAUCUAUGGUACUCAGUGAAUGGGGUUGAUUGGUGCAAUUUUUGAUCUAAAACGGAUUAAAAACCAAAAGAAAUCAGGAAAGGAGAGGAAUAAAGUUUUUGGUAAUUUUAGAUUUGAGAUUCGUCGGCCUUGGUGAGGAUUUUGGGGAAACUAGUGGGAGAUUAGUGAUGGGGGAAAGCUGGGGGUUGUAGGGUGAAGAUUUGGAGUGAUUUGGUGGUGAGCCGCCGGUGGAGGUGGGUUUUGGUGGUGAGAGGCGGCUAGGGUUUGAGAGGGUGUGAGGAAGAUGAAGAAUGGAAAUGUCUCUAGGGUUUGGGGGGCCGGUUCAAACCAUUUUACGGAAUUGGACGAGGAGUUUCUGGCCCUUGGAUCAAAGGAGACGGAGGGUGAAGAUUAGAAGUGACAAAACGGGGUCAUUUUGGUUUAAAGAGGGA